AAUAUUGGACAAUGGGGGCAACCCUGUUCCAGCCAUGCCGCGUGUGUGAAGAAGGUCUUCGGAUUGAAAAGCACCUUAAGUUGGGAGGAAGGGCUUUAGGCUAAUACCCUGAAGUUUUGACGUUACCAAUAGAAUAACCACCGGUUAACCCUCUGCCAGCAGCCGCUGUAAUACAGAGGGUGCAAGCUUUAAUCGGAAUUACUGGGCGUAAAGCGCGCGUAGGUGGUUCAGUAAGAUGGGUGUGAAAUCCCCGGGCUUAACCUGGGAACUGCUUUCAUAACUGCUGAGCUAGAGUACGGUAGAGGGUAGUGGAAUGGCCUGUAUAGCGGUGAAAUGCGUAGAUAUAGGAAGGGACACCAGUAGCGAAGGCGACUACCUGGACUGAUACUAACACUAAGGUGCGAAAGCGUGGGGAGCAAACAG
rnacentral:rRNA from 1 species